rnacentral:rRNA from 1 species
UUGAACGCUGGCGGCAGGCCUAACACAUGCAAGUCGAACGGUAACAGGAAGCAGCUUGCUGCUUUGCUGACGAGUGGCGGACGGGUGAGUAAUGUCUGGGAAACUGCCCGAUGGAGGGGGAUAACUACUGGAAACGGUAGCUAAUACCGCAUAACGUCGCAAGACCAAAGAGGGGGACCUUAGGGCCUCUUGCCAUCGGAUGUGCCCAGAUGGGAUUAGCUAGUAGGUGGGGUAAAGGCUCACCUAGGCGACGAUCCCUAGCUGGUCUGAGAGGAUGACCAGCCACACUGGAACUGAGGCACGGUCCAGACUCCUACGGGAGGCAGCAGUGGGGAAUAUUGCACAAUGGGCGCAAGCCUGAUGCAGCCAUGCCGCGUGUAUGAAGAAGGCCUUCGGGUUGUAAAGUACUUUCAGCGGGGAGGAAGGGAGUAAAGUUAAUACCUUUGCUCAUUGACGUUACCCGCAGAAGAAGCACCGGCUAACUCCGUGCCAGCAGCCGCGGUAAUACGGAGGGUGCAAGCGUUAAUCGGAAUUACUGGGCGUAAAGCGCACGCAGGCGGUUUGUUAAGUCAGAUGUGAAAUCCCCGGGCUCAACCUGGGAACUGCAUCUGAUACUGGCAAGCUUGAGUCUCGUAGAGGGGGGUAGAAUUCCAGGUGUAGCGGUGAAAUGCGUAGAGAUCUGGAGGAAUACCGGUGGCGAAGGCGGCCCCCUGGACGAAGACUGACGCUCAGGUGCGAAAGCGUGGGGAGCAAACAGGAUUAGAUACCCUGGUAGUCCACGCCGUAAACGAUGUCGACUUGGAGGUUGUGCCCUUGAGGCGUGGCUUCCGGAGCUAACGCGUUAAGUCGACCGCCUGGGGAGUACGGCCGCAAGGUUAAAACUCAAAUGAAUUGACGGGGGCCCGCACAAGCGGUGGAGCAUGUGGUUUAAUUCGAUGCAACGCGAAGAACCUUACCUGGUCUUGACAUCCACGGAAGUUUUCAGAGAUGAGAAUGUGCCUUCGGGAACCGUGAGACAGGUGCUGCAUGGCUGUCGUCAGCUCGUGUUGUGAAAUGUUGGGUUAAGUCCCGCAACGAGCGCAACCCUUAUCCUUUGUUGCCAGCGGUCCGGCCGGGAACUCAAAGGAGACUGCCAGUGAUAAACUGGAGGAAGGUGGGGAUGACGUCAAGUCAUCAUGGCCCUUACGACCAGGGCUACACACGUGCUACAAUGGCGCAUACAAAGAGAAGCGACCUCGCGAGAGCAAGCGGACCUCAUAAAGUGCGUCGUAGUCCGGAUUGGAGUCUGCAACUCGACUCCAUGAAGUCGGAAUCGCUAGUAAUCGUGGAUCAGAAUGCCACGGUGAAUACGUUCCCGGGCCUUGUACACACCGCCCGUCACACCAUGGGAGUGGGUUGCAAAAGAAGUAGGUAGCUUAACCUUCGGGAGGGCGCUUACCACUUUGUGAUUCAUGACUGGGGUG